CAAUAGCGUAUAUUAAAGUUGUUGCGGUUAAAAAGCUCGUAGUUGGAUUUCUGCGGGGAGCGAACGGAUCUGACCUUAUGGGUAACUGUAGUACUGUGCAGGCCCUUGGCCAUUCCUCCACAAAGAACGUCGCUGCGCUUUAUUGCGUGGUACGGAAUUUGUGACUUUUACUUUGAGGAAAUUAGAGUGUUCACGGCAAGCAAACGCUUUGAAUAUGUUAGCAUGGAAUAAUAAUAUAGGACCUUGGUACUAUUUUGUUGGUUUCUAGAACUAAGGUAAUGAUUAAUAGGGACAGUUUGGGGCGAUUUGUAUCAACACGUCAGAGGUGGAAUUCUUGGAUUGUGUUGCGACAAACUACUGCGAAAGCAUUUGCCAAGGAUGUUUUCAUUGAUCAAGAACGAAAGUAUGGGGAUCGAAGAUGAUU
rnacentral:rRNA from 1 species